UACGAAGGGGGCUAGCGUUGUUCGGAAUUACUGGGCGUAAAGCGCAUGUAGGCGGAUACUUAAGUUAGGGGUGAAAUCCCAGAGCUCAACUCUGGAACUGCCUUUAAUACUGGGUAUCUCGAGUCCGGAAGAGGUGAGUGGAAUUCCGAGUGUAGAGGUGAAAUUCGUAGAUAUUCGGAGGAACACCAGUGGCGAAGGCGGCUCACUGGACCGGUACUGACGCUGAGGUGCGAAAGCGUGGGGAGCAAACAGG
rnacentral:rRNA from 1 species